UAAAAAUAGUUCAUUCUUAAACUCAACAUGUAAAAUAUUUUAUUUAAAUAAUUUUCCUUUUAUCGAAUAUUUGGCCUUUACCGUAAAUGAUACCCUUUAACUGUUUGUUGAAAUGUUUCUUCCACCUGUUUAUAUAGAUUGCAAAAUUCAGGUUCAUUUUGUGGUAAAUAUUUAACAAAGAGAGUUCAGUUCUAAUUUGGAUGAAAAAUGUAAUAUUAACAAAAAAAAAUGUUGCUAUAAUCUUUCAAAACUCUUUUAUUCCAAUAGGGCGAUUUGUUUUGUUGAAGAAAUAGGGCGAUUUGUUUUGAAGAAAAAGGGGAAAUAAAGCGAUGCCGAUUUGCUUUGUUC
rnacentral:lncRNA from 1 species